rnacentral:rRNA from 1 species
UACGUAGGGUGCGAGCGUUAAUCGGAAUUACUGGGCGUAAAGCGUGCGCAGGCGGUUUUGUAAGCCAGAUGUGAAAUCCCCGGGCUUAACCUGGGAACUGCAUUUGGGACUGCAAGGCUUGAGUGCGGCAGAGGAGACUGGAAUUCCUGGUGUAGCAGUGAAAUGCGUAGAUAUCAGGAGGAAUACCGAUGGCGAAGGCAGGUCUCUGGGCUAACACUGACGCUCAUGCACGAAAGCGUGGGGAGCAAACAGG